UCAGGCCUACGGGACGCAGCAGUGAGGAAUAUUGGUCAAUGGUCGGGAGACUGAACCAGCCACGCCGCGUGAGGGAUGAAGGUACAGAGUAUCGUAAACCUCUUUUGUCAGGGAACAAAGGCGGGGACGUGUCCCCGGAUGAGUGUACCUGAAGAAAAAGCAUCGGCUAACUCCGUGCCAGCAGCCGCGGUAAUACGGAGGAUGCGAGCGUUAUCCGGAUUUAUUGGGUUUAAAGGGUGCGCAGGCGGUCUGUUAA
rnacentral:rRNA from 1 species